GAGUUUGAUCAUGGCUCAGGAUGAACGCCGGCGGUGUGCCUAAUACAUGCAAGUCGUACGCACUGGCCCAACUGGUUGAUGGUGCUUGCACCUGAUCGACGAUGGAUCACCAGUGAGUGGCGGACGGGUGAGUAACACGUAGGUAACCUGCCCUGUACAGGGGGAUAACAAUCAGAAAUGACUGCUAAUACCGCAUAAGACCACAGCACCGCAUGGUGCAGGGGUAAAAACUCCGGUGGUACAGGAUGGACCCGCGUCUGAUUAGCUGGUUGGUGAGGUAACGGCUCACCAAGGCGACGAUCAGUAGCCGGCUUGAGAGAGUGAACGGCCACAUUGGGACUGAGACACGGCCCAAACUCCUACGGGAGGCAGCAGUGGGGAAUAUUGCACAAUGGGGAAACCCUGAUGCAGCAACGCCGCGUGAGUGAAGAGUAUUUCGGUAUGUAAAGCUCUAUCAGCAGGGAAGAAAGUGACGGUACCUGACUAAGAAGCCCC
rnacentral:rRNA from 1 species